UGAAAAGAAAAUGCUGCUUUGAAAAAACAUAGAAAGUAAUAGUAAAACCAAAGCUAUUAGAAACUGCGCUGCAGCCUUGCUUUGGUGCAGCUGGCUGCUGCAGGGGACACAGCACAACUGACAGUGUGUAUUACAGACCACACAUGCUAGAGAGAUACACCAGACACAGUGGGCAUGAAAUGAGUUGUGACCCUCCUCUGUUGCCAGAAAGGCACAUGAAUGUUUGUCACAAAGCAGCAUAAGGUUCCUUUGCCCUGGCAUGGACAUGCUGCUUAAUAUGAACUACAGCCCUUCAGCACACAAUGACAGGUAGCAGCAAUGCUUCACAGAAAGUCCUUGGAAGCGUUCAGUGUUCCAUAUUCUCGGUGUUCCACAGAGUCACCAGUAUUGAGGGGUCAA